rnacentral:rRNA from 1 species
UACGAGGGGGGCGAGCGUUGUUCGGAAUUAUUGGGCGUAAAGGGUGCGUAGGCGGUUUGGUAAGUCUUAUGUGAAAUCUACAGGCUCAACUUGUAGUCUGCACGAGAAACUGCCGGGCUUGAGUGUGGGAGAGGUGAGUGGAAUUCCUGGUGUAGCGGUGAAAUGCGUAGAUAUCAGGAGGAACACCUGUGGCGAAAGCGGCUCACUGGACCAUAACUGACGCUGAUGCACGAAAGCUAGGGGAGCAAACAGG